rnacentral:rRNA from 1 species
UACGAGGGGGGGCGAGCGUUGUUCGGAAUUAUUGGGCGUAAAGGGUGCGUAGGCGGUUUGGUAAGUCUCGUGUGAAAUCUACAGGCUCAACUUGUAGUCUGCACGAGAAACUGCCGGGCUUGAGUGUGGGAGAGGUGAGUGGAAUUCCUGGUGUAGCGGUGGAAUGCGCAGAUAUCAGGAGGAACACCGGUGGCGAAGGCGGGUCUCUGGGCCGAUACUGACGCUGAGGAGCGAAAGCAUGGGUAGCGAACAGG